rnacentral:lncRNA from 1 species
CCUCAUGCUUAUAUUAUGGUGAAAGUCAUCUUUUGGCCCGUAGUGCAUAGACAAACUGUUGAUUGGUAUGAUUAUGACCAAGAAUUGUGUAUUGGUAUAAUCAUGACUUGUAAUGUUAUAGAUAAAUGCUGUGGUAAAAGUUCUCUUUGGCCCGUAGUGCAUAGAUGGACAGUUUUUUGGCAUGAUCAUAAUCACUGGUGAUACAAAUGAAUAUCCUUGGCCCGUAGUGCAUGGAUAAUUCGUUGAUAUGAAAUAUUUAUUGAUUGGUGUUACAGGGAUAAAAUAUUAAUGAUGGAC